GUCAAAGCGUUUUACAACGUCGAGUUGGCUUAGGGAUACGUUCGUUGGGUAGGGGAGCGUUCUGUAAGCCGUUGAAGGUGUGUCGUGAGGCAUGCUGGAGGUAUCAGAAGUGCGAAUGCUGACAUAAGUAACGAUAAAGCGGGUGAAAAGCCCGCUCGCCGGAAGACCAAGGGUUCCUGUCCAACGUUAAUCGGGGCAGGGUGAGUCGACCCCUAAGGCGAGGCCGAAAGGCGUAGUCGAUGGGAAACGGGUUAAUAUUCCCGUACUUGGUGUUACUGCGAAGGGGGGACGGAGAAGGCUAUGUUGGCCGGGCGACGGUUGUCCCGGUUUAAGCGUGUAGGCUGACUUUCCAGGCAAAUCCGGAGAGUCAAGGCUGAGGCGUGACGACGAGGCACCACGGUGCUGAAGCAACAAAUGCCCUGCUUCCAGGAAAAGCCUCUAAGCCUCAGGUAACAUCAAAUCGUACCCCAAACCGACACAGGUGGUCAGGUAGAGAAUACCAAGGCGCUUGAGAGAACUCGGGUGAAGGAACUAGGCAAAAUGGUGCCGUAACUUCGGGAGAAGG
rnacentral:rRNA from 1 species